GCCGGUGUGGCGGAAUGGUAGACGCAGACGGCUAUCAACCGUCGGCGCAACCGCGCAUGGGGGUUCGAAUCCCCCCACCGGCACCA
rnacentral:tRNA from 1 species